rnacentral:misc_RNA from 1 species
AAGUCGUAACAAGGUUUCCGUAGGUGAACCUGCGGAAGGAUCAUUAGCAACAACGGGACGCGUAGUGCCACACCACGCAUUGCCGACAGGCGAUGCGUGAGUGUUGGACUCGACCCAUCAACUCUAUCACCAUGUGCGAAAGUGGGUGUUCCGGGUGUCGAGAGAUGCUCGGGACACUUUUUUGACACGCUCGAUAGACAAGUAAAGUAAGAUAAUUUAAUUUAAAAAACUUUUAACAAUGGAUCUCUUGGCUCUU